rnacentral:rRNA from 1 species
UACGUAGGGGGCAAGCGUUGUCCGGAAUCAUUGGGCGUAAAGAGCGCGUAGGCGGCCCUGUAAGUCCGCUGUGAAAGUCAAGGGCUCAACCCUUGGAUGCCGGUGGAUACUGCAGGGCUAGAGUCCGGAAGAGGCGAGUGGAAUUCCUGGUGUAGCGGUGAAAUGCGCAGAUAUCAGGAGGAACACCAACGGCGAAGGCAGCUCGCUAGGACGGUACUGACGCUGAGACGCGAAAGCGUGGGGAGCGAACAGG